rnacentral:rRNA from 1 species
AGAGUUUGAUCCUGGCUCAGAUUGAACGCUGGCGGCAUGCCUAACACAUGCAAGUCGAACGCGAAAGCGCCUUCGGGUGUGAGUAGAGUGGCGGACGGGUGAGUAACGCGUGGGAAUCUGCCCUGCAGUGGGGGACAACCCGAGGAAAUUUGGGUUAAUAUUGUAUAUGUUUUAUGAGAGAAAGGGGGUUUUGGCUCUCGCUGCAGGAUGAGCCCGCGUCCGAUUAGUUUGUUGGUAGGGUAAUGGUUUACCAAGGUGAUGAUCGGUAGCUGGUUUGAGAGGAUGAUCAGCCACACUGGGAUUGAGAUAUGGCCCAGACUCCUAUGGAGGCAGUAGUGGGGAAUAUUGGAUAAUGGGCGAAAGCCUGAUCCAGUAAUGCCGCGUGUGUGAAGAAGGUCUGUGGGUUGUAAAGUACUUUUAGUGGGGAAGAAAAGUUGGAGGUUAAUAUUUUUGAGUGUUGAUGUUAUCCACAGAAGAAGCACCGGCUAACUCCGUGCCAGUAGUUGUGGUAAUACGGAGGGUGCAAGCGUUAAUCGGAAUCACUGGGCGUAAAGCGCACGUAGGCGGCUAGGUCAGUCAGAUGUGAAAGUCCCGGGUUUAAUUUGGGAAUUGCAUUUGAUACUGCCUGGCUUGAGUAUGGUAGAGGGGGGUGGAAUUCCAGGUGUAGUGGUGAAAUGUGUAGAUAUCUGGAGGAAUAUUAGUGGUGAAGGUGGCCCCCUGGACCAAUACUGACGCUGAGGUGCGAAAGCGUGGGGAGUAAAUAGGAUUAGAUAUCCUGGUAGUUUACGUUGUAAACGAUGUCGACUAGCCGUUGGAUCCAUUUAAGGGUUUAGUGGCGCAGUUAAUGCGAUAAGUCGACCGCCUGGGGAGUACGGCCGCAAGGUUAAAACUCAAAGGAAUUGAUGGGGGCCCGCACAAGCGGUGGAGCAUGUGGUUUAAUUUGAUGCAAUGUGAAGAAUUUUACCAGCCCUUGACAUCCUCGGAACUUGGCAGAGAUGCCUUGGUGCCUUCGGGAGCCGAGUGAUAGGUGUUGUAUGGCUGUCGUCAGCUCGUGUUGUGAGAUGUUGGGUUAAGUUUUGUAAUGAGUGUAACCCUUGUCCUUAGUUGUUAGUAUAUAAUGGUGGGAAUUUUAAGGAGACUGCCGGUGAUAAACCGGAGGAAGGUGGGGAUGACGUCAAGUCAUCAUGGCCCUUAUGGGCUGGGUUACACACGUGCUACAAUGGUCGGUACAGAGGGUUGCGAAGCAGCGAUGUGGAGUUAAUCCCAGAAAACCGAUCGUAGUCCGGAUUGCAGUCUGUAAUUUGACUGCAUGAAGUCGGAAUCGCUAGUAAUUGCGAGUUAGAAUGUUGUGGUGAAUACGUUCCCGGGCCUUGUACACACCGCCCGUCACACCAUGGGAGUUGGUUGCACCAGAAGUAGAUAGCCUAAUUUUUGGGAGGGCGUUUAUUAUGGUGUGAUCAAUGACUGGGGUGAAGUUGAAAUAAGGUA